rnacentral:rRNA from 1 species
UACGUAGGGUGCAAGCGUUAAUCGGAAUUACUGGGCGUAAAGCGUACGCAGGCGGAUUUGCAAGUCGGGGGUGAAAGCCCGAGGCUCAACCUCGGAACUGCCCUCGAUACUGCAAAUCUCGAGUCCGAGAGAGGUGAGUGGAAUUCCUAGUGUAGAGGUGAAAUUCGUAGAUAUUAGGAAGAACACCAGUGGCGAAGGCGGCUCACUGGUCCGGUACUGACGCUGAGGUGCGAAAGCGUGGGGAGCAAACAGG